UAGUUGAGAAUCUUCUGAAGAGCCCUGUAGCUUUUAGUUCAAAAGUACAGUCUGAAUUUCUUAGUCCUUGGUCUGCCACACAGUUCUAAUCAGGAGAUGCACUUAGUGUUUCUCCAUGUUUUAAUCUAGACUAACUGAUUAGCUUGACAGCAGACUUUUUAUUUGCAGAAAUGUUUCAAAUUUUCCUGUGUAAUUCCCAGCAAAUCUGACCAUCACAUUUUUGAACCCCCAGAUAUACCAAGGCUUGCUCCAGUGAGCAGAGCAGCACACCAGCCCCCCGCUAGGGGGAGGCUGGGACCCCUAUGCAGGCCACUUGUGCACACUCUCGGGGCUGUGCAAGGGCAACAUCACCGCCCUGGGCACAGCUCCUGGGCUCUGUUCAGGGCUCCUGAACGUCACGCAUGGGGUUUUCCCUCUCCGCAGGAACUCCCACAGCAGUAAGCCACUGAGUUAAGACAGACAGCUGUCACUGGGCCAGCACGGUGUCAUUCAUGAAGGGCACCGGAUGACUCGCUGAGACCACUGUUAAAGUCUCCAUACAUGCUCUAUGCUUAACGUGGACAACACAUGGUUCAAAGAGAAAGAAGAGCAGCAGCUCUCCAGAUGCACCGCCUCGGGAUGGGACCAAGGCAAGUUCCUGGGCUCCUGCUAAGGCUACAGAAAGCCUCAGACUAUUAACUUCUUCAGAAGAAAACGCAUGUAUUGAAGAGGCACCAUGGGUAAUACAGCAUUGUUAUGGAGUUUACAGCAGCAAAAUGCUUUUCUCUUACUUUCACUGUUGCACCUUUAUUUAACUUAACAUUACUUUUAUUUAUCAAACAUUUUCUCAUGUCAUUAAUGGUUACUGAUAUUGGUCUUGCUUGACACUCCUGCCACACAGGCAGCCAUCAGAACUACCCUGGCUUCCCGGAGCAGCCCCCAGGCAAUUCCCCCGGCAAGGCCCCGUGCAAACCAGUGCCUGGGCAGAGGCCACCUCCACCACCACCUCCCCCAGACACAAAUCUCAGCAGUGCUUGAGGGAACCCCCUGCUCUGCUCCCUCCGGGGUGCCCCAGGGCCCAGCCAGCCUCACCUGUGGUCACUCCGAAUGAGGUGGCUGCUUUCAGAGAUGUUACAAACUCGGACUCGGUUCAAAUGGGCAAGAGCCCAGGUGAAAACCUCCUACCAUCAAUCUGAUUUCCCCUACUAAUGACAAUGCUGGAAAGAAAUUAACCGGAACAAAUAUCUACCUGAGGAAGAACAUCUCUGCCCACUGUUCAGAGACCUUGUCAUCUGAACGGUAACCUUCUGCCGCUUUUUUGUAAGCUUUUUCUAGUGGUUCCCAUACCUCCCCCAGGAAUUGCAAAAUCAAAACACACAGAAGUCAUUUCUUAACCUGCAGAGCCAGCUUAGAAAAGUAACAACUGAAACAAAUAUUUUUUUUUUUCAAGGGCAGGCAAUACUCUCAUUUUGCCCCUUGCCACACACACACACACAUAUAUAGUUUCCCUUUUGCUUUGAGAAAAUUUUAUUCAUAAAUCAGGAAAGCAGAGUAGUCCAGGGGAAAAUAACAUAUAGGAGCACAAAAGACAUCUUUGUUAUUGUAACAAAGAUGUGCCCGGUCUGAAUAUAGCCUAAGAACAGGAUUCAGAAUAAUCAACCAUAUAAAUGCAAAAGGAACUCCCAUUUUUAAAGACUGCACUACAGACAUAUAAAACGCCAUUUCUGACACCUUUACUUUGAAACCACUCCUCUGCCAUUCCAUAAAUAUGCUGAUUUAGCCUUCAUCUUCCCUUCAGAGCUGCCCUACUCUAUUUAGUGUGAUGUUAUUAGGUCAAACAUUGAGUUUUGGGGGAAAAAAAAAAUAAAAAAAAAUAUCCCAAGCCAGCAGCACAAAGAACACGGCAAGAUUCUGGGGCUCUCAUUCUGAAAAUUUUUAUGAGUUCUCCUCAUAA